rnacentral:lncRNA from 1 species
GGCAGAACAGAUGAGAGCACAAUGCUCUCAGACCUGCCGAGCUGUCCCAUACGUCAACUCACUGUGUCUCAUGCCAAUCUUUUUUUUUUUUUUCUUUUCUUUUCUUUUUUUUCAGAGCUGGGGACCGAACCCAGGGUCUUGCGCUUGCUAGGCAAACGCUCUACCACUGAGCUAAAUCCCCAACUCCUCAUGCCAAUCUUGAGUUCAGAUUACUUUCCCAUUUUUGUAGACAAGUAAAUUUGGGCUUUGUGAUGUCAAGAGCAGCUCCUAGUUACUCGAAUCUUCUGACCCCUGCCACACUUCAGCUGCCUCCGUUUGAUUGGUUUCUCUGUCCAUUAAGCAGAUUUACCAUUUGCUACAGGAUGAUAAAUGAAUUUGCCUUCUAUAGACUUCCACCCUUGUUUGCCCCUCUUGAACCAAAUACUGGCUGACGAGGGGGCUCAGCAGCAAAGUGCUCAGCACACAAGCAUGAGGACCCCCAGCACCCACAUAAAACCCAGUUAUGGUGGUGUGUACCUGCAAUCCCAUCCCACCAAUGAAGAGGAAGAGACAGGAUUUGGAGGGCCUGGCUAGCCGGCCAGUCUAGCUGAAUCAGUGAAGUUCAGGUUUGAUAAUAAACACACACACCGGCACACGCACUCGCAUGCACAUGCACACACACACGUACGCACACAUACACGCACAUGUGUACACAUACAUGCACGCACAUACGCACAC